rnacentral:rRNA from 1 species
GUGCCAGCCGCCGCGGUAAUACAGAGGGGGCAAGCGUUAUUCGGAAUUAUUGGGCGUAAAGGGCGCGUAGGCGGCCAGGCAAGUGGAAGGUGAAAUCCCUCGGCUCAACCGAGGAACUGCCCUCCAAACUGCCGAGCUCGAGUCCGGGAGAGGUGAGUGGAAUUCCCAGUGUAGCGGUGAAAUGCGUAGAUAUUGGGAGGAACACCAGUGGCGAAGGCGGCUCACUGGACCGGAACUGACGCUGAGGCGCGAAAGCGUGGGGAGCAAACAGGAUUAGAUACCCCAGUAGUCC